rnacentral:rRNA from 1 species
AGUGAACGCUGGCGGCAGGCCUAACACAUGCAAGUCGAACGGCAGCACAGUAAGAGCUUGCUCUUAUGGGUGGCGAGUGGCGGACGGGUGAGGAAUACAUCGGAAUCUACCUUUUCGUGGGGGAUAACGUAGGGAAACUUACGCUAAUACCGCAUACGACCUUCGGGUGAAAGCAGGGGACCUUCGGGCCUUGCGCGAUUAGAUGAGCCGAUGUCGGAUUAGCUAGUUGGUGAGGUAAAAGCUCACCAAGGCGACGAUCCGUAGCUGGUCUGAGAGGAUGAUCAGCCACACUGGAACUGAGACACGGUCCAGACUCCUACGGGAGGCAGCAGUGGGGAAUAUUGGACAAUGGGCGCAAGCCUGAUCCAGCCAUGCCGCGUGGGUGAAGAAGGCCUUCGGGUUGUAAAGCCCUUUUGUUGGGAAAGAAAAGCAGUCGAUUAAUACUCGAUUGUUCUGACGGUACCCAAAGAAUAAGCACCGGCUAACUUCGUGCCAGCCGCCGCGGUAA